GACAGAGGUGCCAAGCGUUAGGCGGAAUCACUGGGCUUAAAGCGUGUGUAGGCGGAUCGUUAAGUACCUUGUGAAAUCCCACGGCUCAACCGUGGAACUGCUGGGUAUACUGGCGGUCUUGAGCCACCUAGGGGCGACUGGAACAAGCGGUGGAGCGGUGAAAUGCGUAGAUAUCGCUUGGAACGCCAACGGUGAAAACAGGUUGCUGGGGGGUGUGCUGACGCUGAGACACGAAAGCCAGGGGAGCGAACGGG
rnacentral:rRNA from 1 species